CCUCGCGGGGCGCCGCGCCUCCUGUGGGGGCCGCACCGCUGCCUGAGGGCGCCGGGCGCUCGCGUCGCUCCUGGGUCCGCGGCCCCGACGGCGCCUUUGUUCGCCGCCAGCCUGUCCCCUCACACCUCCUCCUCUCCUGCAGAGCAUCCCAGCACGUCGCGGGCCCCCAUCUCCAGCCCCCGGUAGUGGGCUCUCAGCACUUGAUGCUCCAGCUACCUGGGUCCCGCAGCUUUUCCCUGGUCCUGACAGCUGGGUGAAGAGGACAAUUUCUGAUCUGCCUUUGACAGACCAGGUUGCCUCUAACCUGCUGCUACAAUGAACAUCUUUGUGCCUGUCCCCUUAUGAACCUGGGCUCAAGUUUCUCUGGGAUGCACCCCUGGAAUGGAUUACUGGAUCAUAUUCAUUUCCAAUCAUGAAGGAGAGGACUGAUAAACUGUCCAUGGAAUGAAAUUAAAGCUGCCAUCUAAAUUAUUCUCUGUUUCCCUCAAUGACAGAAUCUAUUGGUGAUGGUUAGUUUUAUGUAUCAAUUUGGCUAAGCCACAGUGUCGAGAUAUUUGGUCAAAUAUUAUUCUAAGUGUUUCUGUGACGGUAUUUUCCAGAUGAGUUUAAUGUUUAAAUUGGUGAUUUUUGAGAAAAGCAGAUUGGCCUCCAUAAUGUGGGUGGGCUUCAGCUAAUCAGUUGAAGGCCUUAAUAGAACAAAGACUGACCUCCCCUGAGUAAGAAGGAAUUCUGCCAAAGGAGUGCCUUUGGACUAGAACUGCAAUUCUACCCUGGGGCUUCAGUUUGAUGGCCUAACCCUGUCGAUCUGGUGGUUCUGUCUCUCUGGGGAACCCUGAGUAAUACACUAUGCUUACCCAGGCAUUUGGGUAACCAACUCCUAGAAAACAGCAAAGUAAAACCAAGUAUAUCCUCUGAAAGAAUUUACAGUCUUCAGAUAACCUUUGCACUUGCUCAAAUACCCCAUUGGCUACUUCCAGUGAUUGUGGUCUCCUUUGUCACCAUCCUCUUUUCAGAGGUAGAUACUUCAUCUCUUUGUGUGUGAAUUUGGACACUGCAGAAAGAGGCAAACUAUGACCUAAUUUCAAAAAAUCUUUAAAAGGUCUUAACAGUAUCCCACCACAACUUUAGUCUAGAAAGACCCAGAAAGGCUUAUUAAAAGACUGCCCAGAAUGGAUGCUUGGUUGGCUAAACAAAGGACUAGAACUCAGGUCUUCUGACUUCUGGACUUUGUCCCUUCAGGCUAUAAUUUUGUGUCUCUUUAUAUGCAGAUUUUUACAUAGUUCUGUUCUAGACAUUGUAAGAAUAAAAGCCUGUGACUGCAAGGAACUUAAAAUCUAGUUAAUUGAGCAAGAACAUGUGAAGAAUAUAAUAAUAAUACAUGACAAAUAGCAAAUAGAAUACUGGGUAUAAUUAAGAGACGAAUGAAAGCUAUAGAAAAUAAGUACUAAAUAUUUGAAGUAGAGAGAUUAUUUCAGGCUGAGUUUCCAGGGAAGGAUUAAUGAAGAAGACUAGGUACUGAGAAUGGACAUCCUACAGAAGUUUACAAUCUAGAUGGGGUAAUAAGAUACAAAAAAUGCUAGUAAUACGUGCUCACACACCUAAUGCACACAAUGCUAGAAUGAAAAGUUCAGGUCAAAAGAGGCAGAGGAGUCAUAGGGAAAAAUACCCUCAUGGUUUGGAAUUGGGGAAGUUUCUUGCAGGAAAUGGAUUUUGUGUUUGUUCUCUUAGAAUAUGUAGGAUUAUGACAGAUACUUUGGGUAGGGGGUUGAUCACAGGAUAUACCAAGAUCAAAAAAGCAGGAAUCAUGAUGGCAAGUUCAGGAGACAGUGAGAACAUGUUGAAACACAAAAUUAAUUAUACAAGUAUUUACUGAGCAUUUAUUAUAUGUGAGAAAUUUAAAUUAGGCCCAAAUUACAGAGGAUCAUGAGAGCUAGACUUUCAGAUUAAAAUCUCUCAUAAACAAUGAAGGAUCUUCAGCCUUGAUGAUUUUUGAACAGGGUGAAAUGUUAUUUUAAAAAUAUGAUUAAGAUAACUAUACCCAGUGGGGACAGAGAGAAGGAUGAACUUUUGGAAGGUCACUGAAAUGACCCAAGUCUAACGUGAUGAUGGUCUGGCCUAUUGGUGGUAACAGAAUUGUAGAUCCAAGAGUGUGGUUUUACAAUAUUUGAGAUUAUAAUUCUCCAGAACACAAGUAUAUGAGUCUUCCCUUGUGGGUUACUCCAGCCACCAGUGGGGUACCUUAAGUAGGUUAUCCAUGUGAAACACAGUGCCAGUUUAUUAUUGGGUUGGGCCAAUGUCUAAUACCUUCUUGUAGAGCUAUGAUAAAGCUUGGUUGGACUCCAUAGCAUAAGCAUUGUGUUAGUCAAUGUGAGCUGCUAUAACAAAAUAUCGUAGACUGGGUGGUUUACAACCGAAACUUAUUUUCUCACAGUUCUUGAGGCUGGAAGUCUGAGAUCAGGGGGGCAGCAGGGUCAAGUUCUGGUGAAGAUACUCUUCCUGGCUUGCAGACAGCCCAGCUAUUUGCUGUGUUCUUAUCUUGCGGAAAGAGAAAGAUCUCCCUCUCUCUUCUUCUUGUUAUAAGGCCACCAAACCUACUGGAGUAGGACCCCACUCUUAUAACUUCAUUUAACCUUAAUGACCUCCUCCAGGCCCAAAUAUAUCCAAAUAUAGUCACACUGGAGGCAAGAAGUUCAUUUGAAACAAAAAUAUACAUUAGAUAAUUUAUAAUGAAGAGAAAUUUUGCAAAAUGAAAAAUAAAGCUAAAUAUAGUAUUUUCAAUAAUACACAAGAUAUAUCUGUCAAAGAGAAAUUUAGAUUUGUGAUGCUUUUAAGAAAUAAAUUGUUGAAGUCAUGGUGUUUUUUUACAGCUAUUUCUGUAGCAGGAUAUGAAUAACUAAGAGUUUCUAUGCUUACUAUCUGAAAAAUCAAGUCAUUUAUAUAUGAGAAAUUAUAGAAUAAAAAUAAUAAGGUCUUACUGAGUUAAUUAUCACAAGAUUGGUAGGUAAAUUUAAUCACCUUUUACAACAUAGGAUUCAAUGUUAAGUGAACAAACACACAUUUCCAAAACAAAUGUAGUUUCCCAUAACAAAUAAUCAUUGCCUUGAAGUUAUAAGUGAAAAUUCCUUGGAACUAUAAAAAGUAUUUUCACUGUUUUAUGAAAGCACUUUGACUUUCUUAGCAAACAAACAGAUAAAAAUUAAAUGGUAAAUAAACAGGUAAAAAUUUUAUGGUAAAAAGAUAUAGAUUAAAAUAGAUAUAACCUAAAUUUUUUUGGUUUGGAAUUAUAAAUAUCCAACAAACUGCUUGUUAUCUAAGACAAUAUAGUGGUUAGUUCAAGGCUCUGUUCAAAAACAUAUAUGGCAAUAGUCUCAUUCUUUCAAGAUUUGUCAUUAAAUUCCUAACUGAGACUUGCAGAAUCUGAUUUCAGAUAUAUUUUUGCAGCCAGAGUUGAAAUAACAAAUAUGAGGUUUAUACUUUCUAUUUCCACAUAGUAAAAAGAUAAACAUCACUGAGUCUGCAUUGGGAUAUAUAGCAUACACAUAUGAAAUCUAAAUAUUAGGGGUUUCACAUACUCUUUUUACUAUUUUUAUUUUCAAAGAUAUCCUAGUAGUACCAAUGUAGCCAAGAAAUUUAAAGUAAAUUACAUUUUAUUUUGAAAUUAAAAAUGAGGUUUAAAUGAUUUAUCCUUUACAAAUGGACCUUAGAAAUGCAAAAAUGGAAGGAAACAUUCUAUGUUUUUGUUGGAAUUUUCAUUUGUUUUCUUUACACAGAGUAAAGCAUUUUCAUAAAAAACACUUUAAAGUUCUUCCUUGGAGACAACAACAGAAAUAAAUUAAAAAAUUAUUUUUUAUGUUCCAACUGAACAAUGAGCACUUUGCCCGGUAAUCCUGUGAAGUCUGGCUUAAAAAUUGCACAGCGUUUGCACGACUCUAGAACAGAACUGACCUAGUUGAGGUCAAUCUGUCCUUUGGGAUUUUAUUUAAAUUGAGCAGUCUUUUCUGUGGGAAGUCCAAGCUUUUUGCCAAUUUACAGAUUUUGUAUUCUCUUGGUCACAUCGGCCUCCAAGGACACAGCCCUGCUGAAUUAUCAAGUCUACUGCUGGGGCUUGGUCUCUCUUCCCCAUGCUCCACGAUGAUCCUGAUGUGGAAGUCAGACUCUUUGAUUCCCUAAAUGCCAUGCCCAUGAACACCUGCACAUUUAGUAGAUCUGUGAAAACUUAACCCUAACAAUAAUAUACUGAAAUCACAGAAUCUCACGGUGAAGUCACAGUAAUCAAGUUUUGAUCAUGAUACUUAGAAACUAAAAUAUUAAAGAUGUGGUUGAAGGCUCUUCCACAAACCUCUCCAGUUUGGAUGCAAAGCAGCUAUUAAAUUUUUUUUUUUUUAAUUUUUUUUUUUUUUUAAAGAUUUUAUUUUUUCCUUUUU